ACCCCAAUAGAUUGUGGAGCAUUGAUAAUAGGUUUUUAGUCAAUUAAUCCUAAAGCACUAUCAUGUCGUUGUAGUAGUUAGGGUGUCAAUCCAAAUGGGUGUGAUGCAAACAGAUGAGAUGUGAUAAGAAGUCACUAAGUCAAGCCAAGAAAUAACAGUUUUGGGGUUUCUAACAGUCAUAAGCGAACAUGCAGAAAACGGAAACAAUAACAGAAUUACUAAAAUCACUCGACCACAACAGGCUGAUGCCAUAAGUGGGAUGUGGUCGAGUAACAGGUCGAGUAACAGACAUGAUAUGAAACAGAUAUACUCGACUGCACAGUCUGUUGCCAGACACUGGGUGUGGUCGAGUAUACUGGUCGAGUAACAGACAGGAAAUGAGACAACUGUACUCGACUGCACAGUCUGUUCCCAGACACUAUGUGUGGUCAAGUAAGUUGGUCGAGUAAUUGCAAAAACGAAGAAACAGGCAAUGAGAACGAUUAAGCGAUAACGAUAAAACAGAGAAAUCAGAUAAACGAGAAAUUCCUAAGGAUGGGGUAAUCGAAUAAAGUGGUAUCCUAGCCUAUUCGAAUGGUUAACAAGCGCAAUCAAGCUAUCCCUAGACAACAAGUUCAACAACAGAUCAAUUCACUCUCGUGAUAGAAAUCCUCAAGCAAAGCUAGCCCAGACUGAUUCCCAUUAACGGAAUCUAACUAUUCAGGCAAUAAGAACAGACUAAUAAAGUCAAUAAACGCUCUAAACGGCCAAUCCCUUGGGAUAGAGACGAAUAUCUCAGGAACUAGUGGAUCAAGCAUUCCAUCGAACACCUUCUGGGUGCGGGAAUGCUUGGGAUCGAAUUCCAGUUGAAGGGAUUCAAUUAAUUCUAAAACUUAACCAUUCUACAGACUACGGAUUCCACAAUUACUCUAUCCCAUCCUUAAGAAUUCUAAGUCACUACUCAGACAACAUGCUCAAAGACAUAAACGCAGGUAAAUGAUAAUAUUGCAUAAGUAAAGAGAUAAAGAGUAGAGAAACAAGAUGACAGAUGAAAUCAAAUGCGGAAUCUGAAUAACUUGGAAAAAUCUCGAAUUACAGGUUGCAGAAGCAAAAGCGGCGCAGCCAGAGUAAAACAGAAAAUAAAACUGAAGCAAAAACUCAAUGUCGACUAGAUGUCUCAGGACAGAACCCUAAGACAUCUAUUUAUACAAAACAAAAUAAAAUGAUAGUAGACGGGCCAAUAACCUAAUCGCCUGGCCCAUAGAAUGAUAAUGGGCCGAGAUGGGCUUCGUGAUCCAAUGGAGGUCCAGGCUGCUUCCAAACACUUCGGCUUCUCCUCUUCUCUUCCUUGUGCUCAGCUUGUCUGGUUGAGUGCGGAUUUGAGUAGACUAUGAAGAUGUGAUCGAGUGCCAAGUCGAGUGAUGGUGUUGGUGGUGAGUGAUGAUACUCGACCAGGGGGUCGAGUAACGUGGUAGAGUGAACGGUCGAGUGUGGUCAGGUGGUGUGGCGAAGUGAUACUUGACCAGGGGUCGAGUUGCGUCAUCGAGUGGCCUGAGCUGAGGUUACUCGACCUGGGGAUCGAGUAGAUGGGAAGAAUGGCUCCAUAGUCACUCGACCAGGGGGUCGAGUAUGGUGCUGGAUGCACACGACCUGGUGGUCGAGUAUGUCUUCUGGUUCUGGCUCAUUUCUUCCAAUUUGCUCGCAAACAACUCCAAAUCACCUGAAAACAACUCAGCAACGCAAUAUGUAUGCAAAGCUAUCCUAAUCAUGCAAAGUAUGCAAGAAUGAUGAGAAAUGAUAUAAAACAGUGAUGAAUGAUACAAAACUGGACUCAAAACGAUGAUGAAUGGACACUGAAAACAUGCAAAUUAUAGACAUAUCAAGCAUGACGUUCAUGUGUUCUCCGGCCCGACAUUAUCCGACACUUGCUUGAUGAUCGGACCAUCCUAGCGCUUUUCCUUCUUUUGUGCUCCCUUACCUCGUGAGACGAGUGUCUUGGGCGUUCUUGCGGGGCAGCACGUUCUCUCUGUUGAUAAGCAGAUUGCCUUGGCGGGGUAAUGUCAUGACGCCUGGAUGGCAUGUCUUCUGGCGGGUUGUCUUUGGUGAUCGCACUGGUGGAUGUGGUGCAGUUGAGUGCCUUCUGCAUGUUGUCAAUGGCCUUGACACAUUUAUGGAUGAUCUUAUCUUGAAACUUGCACCAUCUUUGGGUUAGACUUAGGUUCUUGUGUGCUUCAGCAAGACUCUUGCUUUCUCGUGAAGGGGGCUUGUGUUCUUCAAAGUGGUACCGGCUAGUGUCAUAGAUUUCCCAGUUGGUCUCCUCAUGGUCACUCUGACCAUCUACUUCUUUAGCUUUCUGGGACGAGGAUCCUCCAAUCACAUCAUGGAGGAUUUCAUGUUGUGGCGAGAAGUCGAUGUGGUCUCUCACCGUGAUGGUUGUCAUUUCACUGAAGGGGAGAAGAAUAGUCGCUUCUCUUGUUGACGGGUGAUCGAACUUGAAAACGUACCUCUCGUCAUAGACUUGAUGCUCGAUCACAUGGACAAGCUUGAGAUGGGCGAUAUCCAUCCAUCAUGGUUCGAUAGGAUCCGAUCGCAGCGGGACUUCGCACGAUAGGAGGAUUGCCGUCACCACUCCUCUUUCUUCCUGUCAUUGGCCAGUGCCCACCCUCUGUAGCUGCAUAGGUGAUUGAGGAGAUACAUUGACCGGGGUGUGUCAUUGGCAUCUCGUUUCAUAUUUUUUCCGUCCUUGGUGUAAUGGAGGAAACUCAUCAACGCCAGGUCUAACGUCUCCAUGUCUUGGUUCGUCACAGUGGCGGAUAUCUUUCUAGCGUAAGGGACAUUGGCAAAGGCUCUCUGGAAAUAGCGAAUGGCGGGAUUGCGGAUGAAGUUGCUCUUUGAUCUAGCGGAGUUGAAGAUGGUAGUGUCUCUGAUCGUGUUUCACAAGGCUUUGAGUUCCUCUCGUAUAAUCCUCGGUUUUGUUCCCUUGCCACUGGGAAACCCGAACAUGGUUUCCAGCGUCUUGAUCUUCAUGAUGUAGUCACGGCCGUCGAUGGUGAAGCUUAAGUACCCAAGCCCGCCUUCUCUCAACUCAGCAGCUGACAACCCCUCAAACAAUUCCUCUUUGAAGAGAAGAAAGGAAUUGGAGUGUCUCAUCCUUAUAGGCAGGAAAGGGAUGAGACAUGAGUGUUGUCAUGUGGCACUUCUUGAACAAGAGUUGAACGUCCUCCAGGAUGCUAACUCCGCCAUGGUCUCCGGGUGAGGAUAUCUUGUUCCCCAAAACAGAUAUCUCUUGAGAAGCUUGUAGUAGUCUCCCGGAGUCAGCUUGUCUUCCUUCAUCAAAGACUUGGUGGUUUUGUGGGUUGGCUCCCGAAUGUAGUCUGCAUGAUCUUCCAUUUCCUCAUCGACUAGCUCAUAAUUCUGUGUCAUUGACCGCUUCCCUCUAGCGAUCUCUUCUCUUCUCCUGUCAUUGGCGACUGCUUGCUUUUUUUCCGCCACAAAUCGCCUAUACUCCUCUGCUUCUCUUUUUGGUCUAGUUGACCAAGAUUCAGCUUCAUCAACACUAUAGUCGGCAUCCAUCGAGUGGAACAAGCAGAGGAGAGACAAGUUGCGAUUGACUGGUUUUGAGGUUCUGUUUUAGUGAAUAACAGCUUGCAACAAUGAAAGAGUUGAGAGCGUUUUUAGUAGUGAAGUAGAGAGAUAAACAAGAGAGAUGUUUUGAAAUCACAAGUGAUGAAGAAAAGUGAAGAGUAGUGACACUUAUCUCCCUUUGCGAUUUGAAUAUGUGGAUGAGGUGUGUCGCUUUUGAACGGACGGAUGAGAUAGAAUGCUCUUUAUGAUGUCGCCAAGUGAAAAGGAGACAAAGCAUGGUUCUUUCUGUCGGCAGGAUGGGGUUCCUUCAAGUCACGCACCUUGUGAUCGAGCAUGGGCCGUUUGAUCCUUUAAUUUCGUGUCAUGGGCUACAAAGGGACACAACAUGGGCUUUUUGGAGUUUCGGUGGAGAUUGAAAUCCAGUGAAGUUUAUGGGAGCAAGGUUUCUCAUUGACGUUCUGCGGACACUUUCACUCCUCCUUGCGAUCUAGUAGUUUGAAAAUGAUGUUGAUGAAGUUGUUAUCUCAAAACCGCUGGAUCGCACUUCCGAGCUUUUACUCCUAUGUUGCGAUCGAGUAUUUUAUCAAA
rnacentral:sRNA from 1 species